rnacentral:lncRNA from 1 species
UCCCCCCAUUUCAAAUCUGCAUCUUUAAACCAAGUUUUUGUUCCUUUUUGAAAUUUUUGAAAAAAUUCGAGACCAAAAUCCAUUCUUCAAUAAUUUUUGUUUGGGAUGUCUCGGCUUGCAUGAAUUUGAGUGGAAGACUAUAAAAAUAUCUCAUGCUUUCUUUGGCUCCUUUACAUUCUAAAUAUGAAGAAGAUUUUUUUUAUCAACUGA